rnacentral:rRNA from 1 species
UACGUAGGGUGCGAGCGUUGUCCGGAAUUAUUGGGCGUAAAGAGCUCGUAGGCGGUGUGUCACGUCGGCCGUGAAAACCUGCAGCUUAACUGUGGGCGUGCGGUCGAUACGGGCAUCACUGGAGUUCGGCAGGGGAGACUGGAAUUCCUGGUGUAGCGGUGAAAUGCGCAGAUAUCAGGAGGAACACCGGUGGCGAAGGCGGGUCUCUGGGCCAUUACUGACGCUGAGGAGCGAAAAGCGUGGGGGAGCGAACAGGG